AGUCUAGGUUGCAUCUAAAAUUUUUUUAUUAAUCUACAUGAAUAAAGAUCAAAUCUUUAUCUGAUUAGUAGUAGAACUAGAGAUCAAAUCUAUAAAAAUCUAAAAUAAAUCUUUACAGAGACCUAAAAGUAUAGACCCUCUACUUUGCAUACACGCAAAUGAUGCAGGAAAGUGGGAUGAACUCCGAUCAAAUCACUUUCGCAACCCAAUCAAAUGAGAGAGGAGAGGUGCUGGUGUGAUGCCUCACACCAGCAAGGGGGACACCCAAGAUGGAUCCCACUCCAAGGGAGGAGGGACAGCAAGGAUGGGAGAAGCCA
rnacentral:lncRNA from 1 species